AAAAAGACAAAAACACUGCCAAUGUGCCGAUCAAUGUUAAUUGAAGAGUUUCUUAAAGAAAUUGGAGAAGUUGGUGAAGAAGAGCUAGGAGAUGAAUGUUAUGAAGACGAACAAAGUGUCAUGGUUGGCAAUUCAAGUGCAAAGCAACCUAUGAAAAAUACAGUGGCUGUAGAUGACAAUUCAAGGGCAAAACAGCAGAGCAUGAGAAUGGCAGCGGCUUCAAAUAACAAUUCAAGUGCAAACAAGCAAUCCGUGAAUAGGGUAGUAAGUGAAGAAGACAAAACAAGGGCAAGAAAGCAUCCUAUGAAGAGGGCAGUGAUUGAAGGUGAUAGGCCAAGGGCAGUGCAUGAAAGCACGAUGAAAAGGACAAAAAUACUCCCAAUGAUCCAAUCAAUGUUAAUUGAGGAGUUUCUUAAAGAAAAUGGAGAUGUUGGUGAAGAAGAGCUAGGAGAUGAAACUUAUGAUGAAGAACAAAGAGUUAUAGUUGGCAAUUCACGUGCAAAGCAACCUAUGAAAAAUACAGUGGCUGUAGAUGACAAUUCAAGGGCAAAACAGCAGCCCAUGAGAAGGGCAGCGGCUUCAAAUAACAAUUCAAGUGCAAACAAGCAAUCCGUGAAUAGGGUAGUAGGUGAAGAAGACAAAACAAGGGCAAGA
rnacentral:lncRNA from 1 species